UAUCGUUCGAUUUAUGGCAGAUUUAGCACAAACCGCCGAAAUUAUCAUCUAUUCUAUUCUAUUAUCUAUUAUAUUAGAUAAAGAGAAAAAAAACCCCAAUCUUCGUUUUCAUUUUUCUUGUUACAUCUAGCGAAAAAUUCCAUUCUUCUUCUUCUCCAUCUCAGUUGAGAGAUACCGUCUUCGCGAGUGCCACCCACCCCAUCUUUGCAAGAGCCACCCACCCCAUCAAGCUUCGCGUUGCAGAUGCAGCGGAUAUCUCCACUCGAUUCGUGUUCUCUUUCUAUUCGACAUCAGUUCUCAACUACUCCGCCUCCUCGUUGAGAUUCGCUGUCGAUUCCUCUCCAACGACGCCGACACUAAUCUCAGGGAAGUUUAAACUUCUUUUAAUAUUAUUAUUUAAUUGAUUUAUCAUUUAUUACAUCUUUGUUUUUUUCUAUGUAGUUUAAUCUUGGAAGAUAUUUCUAGUAAACUAUUAAGAGGUGCAUUUGUUUUCUUGAUAUUCAGAUAUGGUUGCAAAAUUUGAGUAGAUUCUCUGUAAAAUUCAUGUGUGUUAGGACUUAGGGUUAUCUAUUAGGAAUUAGGUUGAAUUUUUGGAUCUGUUUUAAUUGAUGAGUUUUCAAAUUAUCAAAUUGUCUUUCACUUGCUUCUUGACCUAAAUUUCCAAAUUGUGUUUCUCUGCAGCAUUGUGAUUGGCUAUGAUGAAGGGACUAUUAUGGUUAAACGUGGUCGAGAAGUACCUGUUGCUAACAUGGACAACAGUGGAAAAAUUUUUUAGGGUAAGCAUAAUGAAAUUCAAACUAUCAAUAUAAAAAAUGUAGCAGCAGAUGUGGAGGUUGCUAAUGGAGAAGGGUUACCCUUGGCUGUUAAGGAGUUGGGCAUUUGUGAUCUCUACCCACAAGUUAGUUAAUAUUCUUCUUUCUCACAUGAUGUUCCAUUUUAUUGUUCUGUUUCUUCUGAUUUUAAAGAGUUUCUACUGUUAAGGAGUUGAUGGAGAGUGUAAGAAUUGUGGAAAAAUGUGGUAGAGUUUUAUUUUGUGCAGGAUCUGCACAUAUGUUCUGGUUAUUUUAAUCUAUUUGGGAGACUAGUAUUAUGAUUGGUUCAAAAUAAAUUUGACUCUAGUACUAAGGCAAUUACUGUGAUAAAUAUUACAUAGCACAAUUAUAAACUCAUGAAUUCAGAACUUUGAAAAUAAAUUUGAUUCUAGUACUAAGGCAAUUAUUAUGAUAAAUAUUACAUAGCAUUAUUAUAAACACAUGAAUUCAGAACUUUGAAGUCCUCAUAAGUUAUAUCAUAUACCCCAUUACAGAGGAAAGAAUAAAAUUAUGAUGCUUCAGUUUGAGUAUUCUACUAUAGGAAAAUUAUCCAUGAGCCAUUGUGGCAAUAACUUUUGUCAUUGAUCUAAUUCUCUUUGGCUUUUCCACUUACUUGUAUCCCAAAAAAAUAGAAUAUGAGUUCAUUCUUUGAUGAACAGCACCAUGUUAUGGAACUCAUUAUUAUUAUUAUUAUUAUUAUUAUUAUUAUUAUUAUUAUUAUUAUUAUUAUUAUUAUAAGGGCUUGAUUGGGUGAGCUAUGUGAAGUUGUUUCUGUAAAUUAUAAAUGUGGUUUUUUUCAAAUCCUAGCUAUGUUAAGUUGUUUAUGUAGGAUCUGUUGGGAGAAAUUAAGGAUUUUGUUGUAUGUUUUGAUGGUUUCGGAGAGAUUUUAUAGAAGAUGAGGGUCCUAUACUUGUAAAAGGAGGGAAAGAAAUUAUCCCAAAUGUGAUCAAAACUGUGCAAGUUGCCAGGCAACGUGGAAUUCUCAUAGUUUGGUGGUUGAAUAUUAUUAGAGAAGACCAAGAGGAAGCUGCUUGAACUACAGGAAGAGUUGGAAGCUGAGAAAUUGAAAAGGAAGGUGAUCGAGGAUGAAGCAAUAGCAGAGAAAAAAAAGAGACAAAAAAGAGACAGACAAUGGAAAGUGCUCUGAGAUAUCUAUUUCAACGGGAGGGUGAGGAGCUACCACCAGUCAUUGCUGCAGGGAUGAGUUCCGUGGAAUAAUAGAGUGACAAAUAGUAUAUUAGGAUAGGAAUUAUUUUGGUUUGAAGUCAACAUUUAGUUGAAUUUGACUAUGCAACUCUUUACAAGAGAUUUGUUUUAUUGAUAUUUUUAUAAAUA